GGAGUUGUGACUCAGAGGUUGAGCGCUCGCUUAGCAUGCAUGAGGCUUUGGGUUCAAUCCCCAGCACCACCU
rfam:Ictidomys tridecemlineatus contig071671, whole genome shotgun sequence.